rnacentral:rRNA from 1 species
UACGAAGGGGGCUAGCGUUGUUCGGAAUUACUGGGCGUAAAGCGCGCGCAGGCGGUCUUCCAAGUCAGGGGUGAAAUCCUGGAGCUCAACUCCAGAACUGCCUUUGAUACUGGGGAUCUCGAGUCCGGAAGAGGUAAGUGGAACUCCGAGUGUAGAGGUGAAAUUCGUAGAUAUUCGGAAGAACACCAGUGGCGAAGGCGGCUUACUGGUCCGGUACUGACGCUGAGGUGCGAAAGCGUGGGGAGCAAACAGG